rnacentral:rRNA from 1 species
AUUGAACGCUGGCGGCAGGCCUAACACAUGCAAGUCGAACGCGUGGCGGACGGGUGAGUCAUGUCUGGGACACUGCCUGAUGGAGGGGGAUAACUACUGGAAACGGUAGCUAAUCCCGCAUACCAUCCGAUUUGCCCAGAUGGGAUGAGCUAGUAGGUGGGGUAAUGGCUCACCUAGGCGACGAUCCCUAGCUGGUCUGAGAGGAGGACCAGCCACACUGGAACUGAGACACGGUCCAGCCUCCUACGGGAGGCAGCAGUGGGGAAUAUUGCACAAUGGGCGCAAGCCUGAUGCAGCCAUGCCGCGUGUGUGAAGAAGGUCUUCGGGUUGUAAAGCACUUUCAGCGAGGAGGCGUUACUCGAAGAAGAAGCACCGGCUAACUCCGUGCCAGCAGCCGCGGUAAUAC